UAUAAAAAAAAUUAUGGGUUUCUAUCCAACAUUUGAUCAUCCGUCUUAUUUGAAAAAAUUAUAAAAAAAUAAGUCAUACAUAAAAUAUUUUUCAUGUUUUACCAUCAAAUAAUAAUAAUAAUAUUAAUAAAAAAUUUUCAAAUAAAAUGGACGGUUAAAUGUUGGUCACGAAAAUAUACAAAAUACACUUAAG
rfam:Oryza glaberrima chromosome 10 Oglab10_0036_3, whole genome shotgun sequence.